rnacentral:rRNA from 1 species
GAUGAACGCUGGCGGCGUGCCUAAUACAUGCAAGUCGAGCGAACAGACGAGGAGCUUGCUCCUCUGACGUUAGCGGCGGACGGGUGAGUAACACGUGGAUAACUUACCUAUAAGACUGGGAUAACUUCGGGAAACCGGAGCUAAUACCGGAUAACAUGUUGAACCGCAUGGUUCAACAGUGAAAGACGGUCUUGCUGUCACUUAUAGAUGGAUCCGCGCCGCAUUAGCUAGUUGGUAAGGUAACGGCUUACCAAGGCAACGAUGCGUAGCCGACCUGAGAGGGUGAUCGGCCACACUGGAACUGAGACACGGUCCAGACUCCUACGGGAGGCAGCAGUAGGGAAUCUUCCGCAAUGGGCGAAAGCCUGACGGAGCAACGCCGCGUGAGUGAAGAAGGUCUUCGGAUCGUAAAACUCUGUUAUUAGGGAAGAACAAAUGUGUAAGUAACUAUGCACGUCUUGACGGUACCUAAUCAGAAAGCCACGGCUAACUACGUG